rnacentral:rRNA from 1 species
UACGGGGGGGGCAAGCGUUGUUCGGAAUUACUGGGCGUAAAGGGCUCGUAGGCGGCCAACUAAGUCGGACGUGAAAUCCCUGGGCUCAACCCAGGAACUGCGUCCGAUACUGGUUGGCUUGAAUCCGGGAGAGGGAUGUGGAAUUCCAGGUGUAGCGGUGAAAUGCGUAGAUAUCAGGAGGAACACCGGUGGCGAAGGCGGUUCUCUGGGAAUAUCCUGACGCUGAGGAGCGAAAGUGUGGGGAGCGAACAGG